GGACGCGGAGCUGUUGGGAUCGCGCCAUGGCCUGGGCCCCUCUCCUGCUCGCGGUGCUCGCCCACGGCUCAGGUUCCCUGGUCCAGGCAGCAGUGACUCAGCCGCCCUCGGUGUCCGUGUCCCCGGGAGACACCGUCCGGAUCACCUGCUCUGGGGCUAGCAGCCGUUACUACAGCAGCAGCAACUAUGGCUGGACCCAGCAGAAGCCUGGCAGUGCCCCGGUCACUGUGAUAUAUCAGAACGACAAGCGACCCUCGAACAUCCCUGCUCGAUUCUCCGGUUCCUUGUCUGGAUCCACAGCCACGUUAACCAUCACCGGGGUGCAAGCCAAGGACGAGGCCGUGUAUUACUGUGCUAGCAGCUCGUAUUACUAUGCUGGUAUCUAUGCUGCUUCCCUGGUCCAGGCAGCAGUGACUCAGCAGCCGGCCUCGGUGUCCGUGUCCCCGGGAGAAGCUGCCCGGAUCACCUGCUCUGGGAGUAGCAGCAGCUCCUACAGCGGGAUCCAGCAGAAGCCUGGCAGUGCCCCGGUCACUGCGAUACGUGAUAACACCAAGCGGCCCUCGAACAUCCCUGCUCGAUUCUCCGGUUCCUUGUCCGGAUCCACAGCCACGUUAACCAUCACCGGGGUGCAGGCCGAGGACGAGGCCGUGUAUUACUGUGGUGGUAUGCAUAAGCAUUGA